ensembl:lncRNA
AGCACUUCUGUGAAGGUGAUGACACAGCGGGGAAGGAGAGACGGGACGACUGCAGGCCCUUUUCUUUUCGUCCUUGCUUACUCAGCAGUAAGGCCCAGGACAGAGUGUGGGGAGAAUGUCAAGGACUGAACCGAAACCGCUUGAGUUUUGUGCAGCGUCCCCACUGUUCUGUUAAGGACACAGCUACCUAGGCACAUGCAAAGCACAGAAUAACUAAGUGUGAAAUUUCAGUGAUCCCACAUACGCAUUCUUACAUUUGCAUUUAAAACUGGCACUGCACAGUAUAAUGAUGAAUGAUAAUAUUCAUGUUGGUAAUUUAAAAAUUUUAAUUUUCUGUCCUUAGAACAGCAUUAUAAAGCAAAUAAAAAACAUCAUGACAAGUCGAGAGAGAGGCAGAGAGAUAUAUGUGAGACGUAGGAGGAAAAUUUGUAUUUUAGUAAAUAGAAUGACGUUUUUCCUCUGGUUUUUGAACAAGGAGUCCCACAUUUUUAUUUUGAACAAGGGGCCCCACAAUUAUGAAGACAGCCCUGGGAGAGGAAAAGAAGACUGAGGACAUGGGAGCCCCAGCAGGAUCCCAGAGUCGAUCAGGGCUGAGCCAGGAGUAGAGGCUGGUCUCUGACGGAGUCCGUACGCGGGACCUGCAGUGAUGCUGCUGGUGGUGGUGAUGAAGAGGAUGAUGGUGAAAGACUAGCAUUAUGGAGCUGAAGAGAAGCUCAUUCACCUUCAUCGGAAUCCUACCAGCUCUGGCGUCUUGGCAGGCCACACCUGGGAUCAGCUCUUGCCUUGUGGAGGCAAAAGCCCGGCCGGCACCUUCGCCCCACAGCUAGCACCAUUGGGGGCCAGAGCAGCUCUUACGGUACUUUUGGGCCCUGGGACCUGGAGCACGGGCUACGAGGACUGGGGAGCCCUUCCCACAAGGUGAAAAUAGCCUCCCCCCUUUCCUAUAACCUCCCAUGAGACCAGCCCCACCCAGGGCUCUCAGCCAGGGUGGGAGACUUAACAAGUGGCUUAGACUUAAUGGGAUCAUCCACAAGGGGAGCAAGAAAUGACACGGACCCAGUGAACUAGCUUCCUUUUCUGGAGAACGUGAGAUGAAGUUAUAUUUCUUUAUUUAUUUGGCCUCAACAGGUCUUAGCUGUGGCAUGUGGGAUCUAGCUCCCCGACCAGGGAUUGAACCCAG